UUCUGGAGACUCAACAUGAAGCUACCGGCCAGGGUUUUCUUUACUCUGGGGUCCCGGCUGCCCUGUGGCCUCGCUCCUCGGCGGUCUGAAAAAUGAGUAAAGAUGGAAGCCAAAGUAUCACUUUUAUUGUGGUUUGUGAGAGGAAGCUGGGCCUAUCAGCUGGAUCUCCCGAAGUAGGCGGAUUUAGAUAACUCUGGAGGAGGGCAGAACAUUGCCCUCUGAAGGCAGCUGGCUCCCAAAAGGAAGAAGACCAAGGAGAACUGUUCAUACCCAACGAUCCUGUCAAAAUUUACCAGUCAUAUCAACUGUCUCUGCGCAGACAGAUUGUACCUCAGUCUGUGUUGCUAUAAAGGAAUACCUGAGGCUGGGUAAUUUAUAAAGAAAAGGGUUUGUUUGACUCAUGAUUCUGAUGCCUGGACAAGUUCAAGACUGGGCAUCUGCAUCUGGUGACGGCCUAAGGCUGCUUGCACUUGUGGCAGAAGUUAUGGGACAAAAAUAUUAUAUCAAAACACUGAAGCUU
rnacentral:sRNA from 1 species